AAAGACGGACUUAGUGAUCCGGUGGUUCCGCAUGGAAGGGCCAUCGCUCAACGGAUAAAAGCUACCCCGGGGAUAACAGGCUUAUCUCCCCCAAGAGUUCACAUCGACGGGGAGGUUUGGCACCUCGAUGUCGGCUCAUCGCAUCCUGGGGCUGUAGUCGGUCCCAAGGGUUGGGCUGUUCGCCCAUUAAAGCGGUACGCGAGCUGGGUUCAGAACGUCGUGAGACAGUUCGGUCCCUAUCCGUCGUGGGCGUAGGAAAUUUGAGAGGAGCUGUCCUUAGUACGAGAGGACCGGGAUGGACAUACCUCUGGUGUACCAGUUGUCGUGCCAACGGCAUAGCUGGGUAGCUAUGUGUGGACGGGAUAAGUGCUGAAAGCAUCUAAGCAUGAAGCCCCCCUCAAGAUGAGAUUUCCCAACUUCGGUUAUAAGAUCCCUCAAAGAUGAUGAGGUUAAUAGGUUCGAGGUGGAAGCAUGGUGACAUGUGGAGCUGACGAAUACUAAUCGAUCGAAGACUUAAUCAA
rnacentral:rRNA from 1 species